rnacentral:misc_RNA from 1 species
GAAAUGCGAUAAGUAGUGUGAAUUGCAGAAUUCAGUGAAUCAUCGAAUCUUUGAACGCACAUUGCGCCCUUUGGUAUUCCUUAGGGCAUGCCUGUUCGAGCGUCAUCUAAACCUUCAAGCCCUGCUUGGUGUUGGGUGCCUGUCCCGCCUCCGCGCGCGGACUCACCUCAAAUCCAUUGGCGGCCCCCGCGUCGGCCACGAGCGCAGCAGAAACGCGAACUCGUGAGCCCGUCCGGGCGGCUCCCAGAAGCUACACCCACCCAGUUUGACCUCGGAUCAGGUAGGGAUACCCGCUGAACUUUAGC